UACGGAGGAUGCAAGCGUUAUCCGGAUUUAUUGGGCGUAAAGCGUCCGCAGGUGGCUAUUCAAGUCUGCUGGCAAAGCUCGGAGCUUAACUCCGAAUCGGCGGUGGAAACUGAACAGCUAGAGUGCAGUAGGGGUAGAGGGAAUUCCCAGUGUAGCGGUGAAAUGCGCAGAGAUUGGGAAGAACACCGGUGGCGAAAGCGCUCUACUGGACUGCAACUGACACUCAGGGACGAAAGCUAGGGGAGCGAAUGGG
rnacentral:rRNA from 1 species